rnacentral:rRNA from 1 species
GGGUUGUGAGGUUAAGCGACUAAGCGUACACGGUGGAUGCCCUGGCAGUCAGAGGCGAUGAAGGACGUGCUAAUCUGCGAUAAGCGCCGGUAAGGUGAUAUGAACCGUUAUAACCGACGAUUUCCGAAUGGGGAAACCCAGUGUGACUCGUCACACUAUCAUUAACUGAAUCCAUAGGUUAAUGAGGCGAACCGGGGGAACUGAAACAUCUAAGUACCCCGAGGAAAAGAAAUCAACCGAGAUUCCCCCAGUAGCGGCGAGCGAACGGGGAGGAGCCCAGAGCCUGAAUCAGCAUGUGUGUUAGUGGAAGCGUCUGGAAAGGCGCGCGAUACAGGGUGACAGCCCCGUACACAAAAGCGCAUGUGCUGUGAGCUCGAUGAGUAGGGCGGGACACGUGGUAUCCUGUCUGAAUAUGGGGGGACCAUCCUCCAAGGCUAAAUACUCCUGACUGACCGAUAGUGAACCAGUACCGUGAGGGAAAGGCGAAAAGAACCCCGGCGAGGGGAGUGAAAAAGAACCUGAAACCGUGUACGUACAAGCAGUGGGAGCACCUUCGGGUGUGACUGCGUACCUUUUGUAUAAUGGGUCAGCGACUUAUAUUCUGUAGCAAGGUUAACCGAAUAGGGGAGCCGUAGGGAAACCGAGUCUUAACCGGGCGUUAAGUUGCAGGGUAUAGACCCGAAACCCGGUGAUCUAGCCAUGGGCAGGUUGAAGGUUGGGUAACACUAACUGGAGGACCGAACCGACUAAUGUUGAAAAAUUAGCGGAUGACCUGUGGCUGGGGGUGAAAGGCCAAUCAAACCGGGAGAUAGCUGGUUCUCCCCGAAAGCUAUUUAGGUAGCGCCUCGUGAAUUCAUCUCCGGGGGUAGAGCACUGUUUCGGCUAGGGGGCCAUCCCGGCUUACCAACCCGAUGCAAACUGCGAAUACCGGAGAAUGUUAUCACGGGAGACACACGGCGGGUGCUAACGUCCGUCGUGAAGAGGGAAACAACCCAGACCGCCAGCUAAGGUCCCAAAGUCAUGGUUAAGUGGGAAACGAUGUGGGAAGGCUCAGACAGCCAGGAUGUUGGCUUAGAAGCAGCCAU